AACCCAUGAUGAUGGCACAUUCUCAAUAAAUCCUUAUAUCUCUCUCAUGCAUCAUAUAGUGUCUCUAAAUCGAUCUGGGUAAAGGAAGAAAUAUCAUUCCUCAACUU
rfam:Gossypium arboreum cultivar AKA8401 contig_58859_1, whole genome shotgun sequence.